UACAGAGGGGGCAAGCGUUGUUCGGAUUUACUGGGCGUAAAGCGCACGUAGGCGGAUCGUUAAGUCGGGGGGUGAAAAUCCUGGAGCUCAACUCCAGAACUGCCUUCGAUACUGGCGAUCUUGAGUCCGGAAGAGGUGAGUGGAACUCCUAGUGUAGAGGUGGAAUUCGUAGAUAUUAGGAAGAACACCAGUGGCGAAGGCGGCUCACUGGUCCGGUACUGACGCUGAGGCACGAAAGCGUGGGGAGCAAACAGG
rnacentral:rRNA from 1 species